rnacentral:rRNA from 1 species
UACGGAAGGCAGCAGUGGGGAAUAUUGCACAAUGGGCGAAAGCCUGAUGCAGCUAUGCCGCGUGUAUGAAGAAGGCCUUAGGGUUGUAAAGUACUUUCAUCGGGGAAGGAAAACAAAACUAAUAAUUUUAUUUCUUGACGUUACCCGAAAAAGAAGCACCGGCUAACUCCGUGCCAGCAGCCGCGGUAAUACGGAGGGUGCUAGCGUUAAUCAGAAUUACUGGGCGUAAAGAGCACGUAGGUGGUUUUUUUAAAGUCAGAUGUGAAAUCCCUGGGGCUUAACCUGGAACUGCAUUUUGAAACUGAAAUACUAGAGUAUCGUAGAGGGAGGUAGAAUUCUAGGUGUAGCGGUGAAAUGCGUAGAUAUCUGGAGGAAUACCUGUGGCGAAAGCGGCCUCCUAAACGAAUACUGACACUGAGGUGCGAAAGCUGGGGAGCAACAGGGAUUAGAUACC